AUCCAGUUGGCGAGUCCCAAAUAGGACGAAAUGCGCAUCCUAGAU
rnacentral:hammerhead_ribozyme from 1 species